rnacentral:lncRNA from 1 species
GAAUAUGGAGGACAUAUGCACGUGUGUUUAGUCCAACGUCGAAUAUAUACUGGAUAGAUUUUGAGUACUUAUAUAAAGUCAAUAGAAAUAAUCAAGAAUAUCAUUAGAUUUGAGAAAGACACAUACCACAUAUUGUAGAUCGAGGUCGAGCACAUCUUCUUUACUUUCACUUCGAUAGAUUUAUAAUGGGAUGAUGAUUCGAGAAUGUGUUGUACAGUGGGUCGAGUGGCUAAAAGGUCUCUGGGAUGCUUCAGCUGGGGGAGAGAGAUCUCAGCAUCAAUGAUGGGAAUUAAGGGAGGUGGUGAAGAUGGUCUCA